CUCCCAACUUUUAUGAAAUCCUUCCUGCAAAAUAUCUCUUCCUAUUUCUCCCCAAAUCUCAAGCACUCCCAACUUUUAUGAAAUCCUUCCUGCAAAAUAUCUCUUCCUAUUUCUCCCCAAAUCUCAAGCCCCAUUUUUCACUUCAGUUUCGUCCAGUGCUUUCGUUCCUUUCAUAGCAACUCGCAUUUUGUUCUGUGUGAUUAUCGACUAGGUUGAGCAAAGUGUGGUUGCCGGCCAGGUUCAGCAAAGCCAACUCGCGGUCAGGCCAGGUGCGCAAGCCAACUCGCGGCUAGGUUUAAUUCUUCAACUUCAUAUUUUUCUGAACCCUCUUCUACCCGGACAUCAAUGGUGAAUUAGAAGGUUCUUUCUUUGAAUUUAUAGGCAUUCCUUUUGAUUUUAAAUUGUUGUUGAUAAUUGUGUGGUGUGUGCUCUGUUCGGUCAAUGAAAGGGAAAUGUUUAAAGUGUUUUUUUAGUAGAUGAAUGAAUAUUUUUGGGAUUAUUCUCUAACUAAGUUUAUAUAUAAUUUAGGCUUAAUAUAGGCCUGUAUUGGAAAUUAAUUAUUGAUGAUUUGUUUGGUUGUCCAGUGACUUUGUUUUCAUGUUAUAUGCAAUGGGAAAAUAAAUAAGUAUGUUCAGUGCUAUCAGACUAAUAAGUAUGAAUGUGCUGAAAGGUGAUUCUGAACCAUUUCAUGUUAGAGUGUUGCAACCUACGAAAUAGAUUGCAAACUUUACUGCCAAGGCGUGAAUUGGGACUGGAUUUUUGUGAAAUUUAUGGUAGUUGGUUUUUAAAGAAUCUUGAUCGGACAUGUUUGUUCCAAUAAGAUUUCACUUCAUAAUUGGGUUAGAUUAAUUCCUUUCCAUUUGCUAUCAUAUAUAUCUUCUUGCUUAAGAUCCUCUUUUUUGGUGAUUUGAUUGAUCACCUUGCUGCAUCAAUGGAACAUAUACUUUCUAUUUGCGUGAUUAGCCAGUCAAUUGUGUCUUUCUUCCAUGUAUAUUUGGACUAUGUUUAUUUACAGAUUUGUACUGCCAAUCAUAAUUUUUAAAUCUUAAUCAACUGUGCAUGAUUACUGCAUAUCUACAACCAUGUAAACUUCCAGUUUUUAGUAGUUGUUACUGUUCCAAAUCACAUGCAUCCAAUCCAAAAAGUCACAAAAAUUUAUUUUAGAGAAACUUAGUAUCUUUUUUCUUGUCAGUUCAUCUUCAUUUCCUAUGUAUAAUUAUCGUCACUUCAGUUUCUUGACUCGGUUUUGAACGAAAAGAGUUAUUUAUUUCUAUUUUGAAUGCAAGUUAUACUAAUCCAAAGUGCUAUGUUGCUCCAUUUGCAUAUCUGCGUUUUUUUUUUCGAAUAUGUUUUUGCUUUUCACUCUUAGAUGUUAAAAUAAUUUUCAGUUUUUAUGUGCUAAAAACGAAAAAAAAAAUAUUAAUUUCAAUCAAACUUUCAUUUUUUUUACUUAUCACAAACUUUAUGUGUUACAAAAAUAAAAGAUGUCAAGAAAAUAUAACUGCAUUUUUAAAUUAUAAUGAUUUGAUAUAAGUAUCGGAUGCAUAGAUACCGAAGUACAAUUGAAAAAUCAUAAUCAUAAAUUUAUAUUAUAAUUACUCUUUUAUGCUGAAACAUCAUCAGGAUUUAGUUGUUCAAUCUUGUUAGCCAUUAAAGGUAUAAUUGUGAUUUUAGUUUUGAACAGAGUUGUUUAUUGCAUUUGUAAAUGUAGAUGUUUUCUUUCUUUUGUGGUCCAUCACGUCUUUCACCAUCAUGGGCAUCAUUUUCUGCUUUCAUCACUUAUUUUAUUGAUUUAUUUAUCCACCUGCAGUGUCAUAGUGAUUUCAUCCUCAUUUUAGUGCAUAUAAAAUUAGUUCUCUUAUAUGGUUUUAAAAAAAAAAAAGUUAUUGCUAGGCAUGAAUAAGUCUUGGAGCAGUGGCAUAUUUGUGUUGGUCAAAAUGAUUGAAUCCAUAAUUUGUUGAAACUAACGCAUGAUACAAUAUGUUUAUGGAUUUUUUUUAAUAUAUAAUUGGUUAUUUAGUGUUUUAAGUCAAGGUAUAAUUCUCAAAAACUAUGCAUGAUAUAAAAGAAAAAAUGACACUUAAAUCUCUUUUUUUAAGUAAUAAACUAGCUUUUUAUAACUUGAAAAAUCUGCAUCUUUUUAAUAUUUUGAUUAUUUUGGGAUAUGAGUUUUUACCCUUUCAACCUAUUACUCUAAAGCAAUCCACCAAUUACAAGUAAUGCAAUGUAAGCUUAUAGUUUCAGCUUGUCUCCUAAACCACUUUAACUCAGAUGGGAGGGUAGUAGGAGGUUCCUCGAUGUUUACUUUAACUCAGAUGAUUAUUUAUAUUCAAAUUUAUUUUCAAUGCAUGUACCACAUAUUUAUAUGACUAAAUCUUCUCAGUUUCAGGUUAGGAAGGAGAAGUUGGGUAUUUUGAAUUACAAGUCUUCAUCAUUUAGGAAGGUAAUGAAUCUUCAUUUUGAAUAUGUUAACCCUGUUCUGAAUUUUAUUUUUCUGUAUUUGUUGUGAGCUGAAGGAUUCAUUGGAAUUGUGGCUUAACUACUUUUCUUUAAGGUUCUUAUUCUGGAAGCAAGGAAAGCAUAACUGUAUGUGAAAGUCUACCAAGUAGGUUACUAUUCUGUAAAGAUGUGUAUUCAUUCAGCAGAGAUAGGUCACAUCGGGAUGAUGAUGUCUGUGUUUCUGUUUUUAUUUCGUGUAUUUAUUAUGGGAAUUCAGAUUGAUACAUGUUCCCACUUCUACAAUUUGUUUACUUUAUUAAGGCUGCUUCGAUGUAUGCAAAGUGUACUGAUAGUAAAUAGUAUUUGUAAUUGCUAUAUACUGUUGAAGUUUAAAAGUUUCUAUAGAGAAUGGAAUUGUAAUUGUAGGCACUAACACAAGCAAUUGUUUAGAAAGGUUACUAUUCUGAAAAGAUGUAUAUUCAUGCAGCAGAGAGGUCAUCGGGUGAUGAUGUGUGUGUUUCUAUUUUUAUUUGGUGUAUUUAUUGUGGGAAUUCAGAUUGAUACAUGUUCCCCACUUCUGCAAUUUGUUUACUUUGUUAAGGAUGCUUCGAUUUAUGCAAAAUGAAGUGAUAGUAUAUAUUUUAUAUAUGCUCCUAUUAAUGCAUUUAGGAAUACAAGACUUCGACUUUGAGAUUUAAGUCUUGCUUCAUCUACCACUGUCCCAUCAUCGUCUUUUAAUGAGUGGAAACAAAAGUACAACAAUUUAGAAUCAACACUUAAAGCAUACAUGAUAAUGAAGAAAGGAAAGAUUCCUGAUGAAUUUACCUCAUUCUUUGAUUCUCAACCUCAAGUAAGUUAUUAAUAUAGUUGAAGCAUUAUGCCUGAUAUACUUUAAUUAUAAGCAUUCCUUAUUAUUAAUAUUUUUGUUUUAUCAUUUCAGGAAGAUGGUGAUGCAAAUGAGUCUGAGUCUCCUUUGGGUGGUACAAUAGGAUCAUCUAGUGCUAGCAACAUUUAGGAAGUUUACGAUGUCUUAUAGGAUGAAACUAUAUUUAGCCUAUGGAUUUUGAGUAAUUGAGUUUAGGUGUUAUCACGAUUCAAUUUAACUUACUUUUAUAUACUAUGGUGUUUUUGAGAAUUGAAUGUUUUAAUGAUAUAUAAUUCAAGACUUUGGUAAUCGAAGUUUGUCAUGCUUUUUUGUCUUCAUUGUAGUAUUUGAAUUUCGUUACAAAUAAAUAUUGUUGACAAAACUACAAGCAUCUUAAUGGCAAUAUUUUCAUGUAAGAUAAGCAAAAUAAAUUUGUAAACUCAAUCUACAUAAUACAAAUGAGACAGUUUAAAACAUUUAAAUUAUAAUUGUCAAAUUAAAUAUGGUAUUAAUCCAAAAAAAAAUUGAAAAAAACGGGGUUAAUCAUUGCAGUAAAAUAGAUGAAAAUAAAAGAGGUUUCAAACCUCUACAAAAUAAUAAUCACUAAUAGAAGAGGUUAAAACCCUCAACAAAAAGACCUCUGCAAUAUAAAUU
rnacentral:lncRNA from 1 species